rnacentral:rRNA from 1 species
GGGUUGUGAGGUUAAGCGACUAAGCGUACACGGUGGAUGCCCUGGCAGUCAGAGGCGAUGAAGGACGUGCUAAUCUGCGAAAAGCGUCGGUAAGGUGAUAUGAACCGUUAUAACCGGCGAUGUCCGAAUGGGGAAACCCAGUGUGAUUCGUCACACUAUCGUUAACUGAAUACAUAGGUUAACGAGGCGAACCGGGGGAACUGAAACAUCUAAGUACCCCGAGGAAAAGAAAUCAACCGAGAUUCCCCCAGUAGCGGCGAGCGAACGGGGAGCAGCCCAGAGUCUGAAUCAGCUUGUGUGUUAGUGGAACGGUCUGGAAAGUCCGACGGUACAGGGUGAUAGUCCCGUACACCAAAAUGCACAGGUUGUGAACUCGAAGAGUAGGGCGGGACACGUGGUAUCCUGUCUGAAUAUGGGGGGACCAUCCUCCAAGGCUAAAUACUCCUGACUGACCGAUAGUGAACCAGUACCGUGAGGGAAAGGCGAAAAGAACCCCGGCGAGGGGAGUGAAAAAGAACCUGAAACCGUGUACGUACAAGCAGUGGGAGCACCUUCGGGUGUGACUGCGUACCUUUUGUACAAUGGGUCAGCGACUUUGAUCUUGGAGCAGGGUUAACGGUAUAGGGAAA